rnacentral:lncRNA from 1 species
CUUUGAAAAUGUUAUAUGAUGAUCGCCGAAUAUGUUUGAGGUGGCAGACCAUAUAUGAAAAGGGGAAGUUCAAGAUAAGCUAUUAACCCUGGAAAUCAGAGGCUUAUGCUAUCAUACGAUUACAAUAAGUCUGUAAACUGCAAAUAUGUUAUCUAAGCGCAGCGAAAUCUGCCACAAAUCAAGCGACUAACCCUGGAUAUCAGAAGUUAUCGCUACCAACGCAAAGUUUACAUGUUUGAAUGUAGAUUUCUUUUCAAGUUAUCCAUUCAAUUUCUAUAUGCAUGUAAGUCUACUCCUCGCCCAGGAUUCGUCUUUUUUCUUGAAUGACCGUCUCGUCAUUAAAACUUUUGUACAUCUUUCCACAUUCAGUGAUGGUUUAAUCGAUGUAGACAAUACAAUUCUGAAAUAAACAAACAAAACAAAACAGCAGUAUCUUCCGUAGGAAUUGCAUUCUACUAAUUUAAGG